rnacentral:rRNA from 1 species
GACGAACGCUGGCGGCGUGCUUAACACAUGCAAGUCGAACGGAAAGGCCCUGCUUUUGUGGGGUGCUCGAGUGGCGAACGGGUGAGUAACACGUGAGUAACCUGCCCUUGACUUUGGGAUAACUUCAGGAAACUGGGGCUAAUACCGGAUAGGAGCUCCUGCUGCAUGGUGGGGGUUGGAAAGUUUCGGCGGUUGGGGAUGGACUCGCGGCUUAUCAGCUUGUUGGUGGGGUAGUGGCUUACCAAGGCUGUGACGGGUAGCCGGCCUGAGAGGGUGAACGGCCACAUUGGGACUGAGAUACGGCCCAGACUCCUACGGGAGGCAGCAGUGGGGAAUAUUGCACAAUGGGCGGAAGCCUGAUGCAGCAACGCCGCGUGCGGGAUGACGGCCUUCGGGUUGUAAACCGCUUUCGCCUGUGACGAAGCGUGAGUGACGGUAAUGGGUAAAGAAGCACCGGCUAACUACGUG